CAGGUACUUUUAAAUAUCAUAUGCUUUCCUAUUUUGUGCCUAAACAAAAGCCUAUUCAUUUUUGGGACUAAUUCCUUUUACUAUAAAACUAAAAACAUCUUCAUUGAAAUAUCAUAACCACUUCAACUUCUGAAACUUACCAUGCCCAGAUCAAAUUUUUAUGUCUUCAUUAGGGAUGAAUACAUUAUCGACAAGUGUCACCAGGAGCAAAUGCAUUAGUUUCUGAGCUUUCUUGAAUAAUGCCAAAUGACAUGGCAGAAGUCCAGCAUGGCUUUACUGUACAAUUUCUGAAUUUACCUGUCUCCAUUUUUCUAUGUGGUAUGAUGAUCAGAGGUUGGAAGUGUUUCUAUAAUUUCAAAUCUACUCUGCCACACAUUUGAGUUGAUUCACACAAUAGAGUUAGUUGAAAGAAAGCCUAUGGAUUUAAUAUAAAAAUGCUAUCUUGGGUUUCGCAAUGGCAGUUAUAUAUUUGGAUAGACAAGUGGGCUUGCUGCCAGCUCAAAGGGGUAGCAGUUUCUGAUGCUUAUCCCCAAGUCUGUUUAUUUUGCCCUUAAAGUGACUUUAUCAAGUUAAAGAGUUACCAGUAGUGUUCUCUAUUGUAGAAAUCAAAAGACUUAUGUCUUUUUUUGGAGCAAUAAUGUUUUUCUAAGGAAGUUGGAACUAAUUCAGCUGAGUUGCCUUCAACCCAAUAUCAUUUAAAAAGAUAGAAUUAGCCCUGUAUUAAGAUAGAGUGGGGAGCUGGGAAACACACACACACACACACACACACACACACACACACACACACACUAGAAGUCAGAAAGUGGAUGAGACAAUGACCAGGGUUUUGAUUGGAGUUGCUGCUCAGAGUGUGGGGAAUAUUUCUAGGCUCUUAUUUUGGGUAUAGGUGAGUGGCUAUUCUGAGAUUUAUGGAUAGGUUGAGCAGGAUAUGGCUGGGUGUGACAAAAAUGUGGCUUCCCAGGAAAAGUAACCAGACCAGGAAAGGGCAUGACAGAAAUGACCUUCACUUAGCUGAAGGUUCCUGUAUCCCUGUCAAUUUGAAGUCUUAAUCUACGAAGGUGUGUAUGUGCAAUGCCAAGGGAAAGGGAAAGUGAUUUUCACUAGUCUCUCUUAUGUAGCUUUCAUUUUCAUUAUAUACUGUGGGGGCGUAUGGUAUGUUCCAAUGAAGACACAUCUCCAUGGCAGUAUGCCUGUAAGGAUGGCUGCAGGCUGCGUAAGACAGGAGUUGGGAACAGAAGAGGGAGAACCUUUGGAGUGAAAUGCAGUGUUGGAACGAGCAUCAUCAUGGGUCACAUCUUAACCUCCCUCCCCACCCCACCCAUCCCCAACAUGACCUAAGUCUUUGAAGAAAGAGGUAAAGUCUUUGGAAUAUUUAAAAAUCAAUGAUUGAGAGCAAACCACUAGGUAAAUGAUAGGUAAUAUAGUGCCCUUCUCCCCAAACCCACAAGGCAGUUCCAAUUUUGACUCCAGUCCCUAUUGGAGUGGUUCUAGAAGGCCAUCUGGAAAUACUUUCUCAUUCCUGUUUACUCACUUUCAACAGAUAGUGUUGAAUAUGUCAAUAUGUGAACUUUUCACAUUCACUGAAUGUGAAUUGUUAUGUGAGAAGAUAGAAGUUAAAGUAGACAGACAGGGAGUUCCCGUUGUGGCGCAGUGGUUAACGAAUCCGACCAGGAACCAUGAGGUUGCAGGUUCAGUCCCUGGCCUUGCUCAGUGGGUUAAUGAUCUGGCAUUGCUGUGAGCUGUGGUGUAGGUUGCAGAUGUGGCUCGGAUCCUGCAUUUCUGUGGCUCUGGCGUAGGCCUGUGGGCCUGUGGCUACAGCUCCGAUUGGACCCCUAGCCUGGGAACCUCCAUAUGCCUCGGGAGCGGCCCAAGAAAUAGCAGCCUUAGAAAAGACAAAA
ensembl:lncRNA